UACGAGUGCCUCGAGCGUUAUCCGGAAUCAUUGGGCGUAAAGGGUGUGUAGGCGGCCUUGUUAGUCUCGCGUAAAAUCCUUCGGCUCAACCGAGGGCUCGCGCGGGAAACGGCAGGGCUAAGAGGAUGGUAGGGGUCUCUGGAACUCUAGGUGUAGCGGUGAAAUGCGUUGAUAUCUAGGGGAACACCAAAAGCGAAGGCAAGAGACUGGACCAC
rnacentral:rRNA from 1 species